rnacentral:rRNA from 1 species
CAAUAGCGUAUAUUAAAGUUGUUGCGGUUAAAAAGCUCGUAGUUGGAUUUCUGCUGAGAACGACCGGUCCGCCCUUUGGGUGUGUAUCUGGCUCUUUCUUGGCAUCUUCUUGGUGAACGUUGCUGCACUUGACUGUGUGGAGCGCUACCCAGGACUUUUACUUUGAGGAAAUUAGAGUGUUUCAAGCAGGCAUACGCCUUGAAUACAUUAGCAUGGAAUAAUAAGAUAGGACCUCGGUUCUAUUUUGUUGGUUUCUAGAGCUGAGGUAAUGAUUAAUAGGGAUAGUUGGGGGCAUUCGUAUUUAACUGUCAGAGGUGAAAUUCUUGGAUUAGUUGAAGACGAUCUACUGCGAAAGCAUUUGCCAGGGAUGUUUUCAUUGA